GAAGCGCGAACCGGGCGGGCGCACAAGCGCCGCAAGGCCCGGAGCUGGCGGAGGCAACCCCGCCAUGCA
ncrna:unclassified sequences Transposase-2 RNA